rnacentral:rRNA from 1 species
AUUGAACGCUGGCGGCAUGCCUUACACAUGCAAGUCGAACGGCAGCACGGGUGCUUGCACCUGGUGGCGAGUGGCGAACGGGUGAGUAAUACAUCGGAACAUGUCCUGUAGUGGGGGAUAGCCCGGCGAAAGCCGGAUUAAUACCGCAUACGAUCUACGGAUGAAAGCGGGGGACCUUCGGGCCUCGCGCUAUAGGGUUGGCCGAUGGCUGAUUAGCUAGUUGGUGGGGUAAAGGCCUACCAAGGCGACGAUCUGUAGCUGGUCUGAGAGGACGACCAGCCACACUGGGACUGAGACACGGCCCAGACUCCUACGGGAGGCAGCAGUGGGGAAUUUUGGACAAUGGGCGAAAGCCUGAUCCAGCAAUGCCGCGUGUGUGAAGAAGGCCUUCGGGUUGUAAAGCACUUUUGUCCGGAAAGAAAUCCUUGGCCCUAAUACGGUCGGGGGAUGACGGUACCGGAAGAAUAAGCACCGGCUAACUACGUG